rnacentral:lncRNA from 1 species
CUCUCCCUCCUCCUGGCGUUAGUUCCGGUCGCAGAGGAGACACCGCCGCAGUUGCCGGUGUCUUUUAUGAAUAAUCAAAAGCAGCAAAAGCCAACGCUAUCAGGCCAGCGUUUUAAAACUAGAAAAAGAGUGAAAAAGAGAGGUUUGACCCUACUCAGUUUCAAGACUGUAUUAUUCAAGGCUUAACUGAAACCGGUACUGAUUUGGAAGCAGUAGCUAAGUUUCUUGAUGCUUCUGGAGCAAAACUUGAUUACCGUCGAUAUGCAGAAACACUCUUUGACAUUCUG